CAAGUCGAGGGGUAGCAGGAAUUGCUUGCAAUUCGCUGACGACCGGCGCACGGGUGCGUAACGCGUAUGCAACCUACCUUCAACAGGGGGAUAGCCAGGGGAAACCCUGAUUAAUACCCCAUAAUAAUUCAAUUUCGCAUGUUAUUGAAUUUAAAACUCCGGUGGUUGAAGAUGGGCAUGCGUCCUAUUAGUUUGUUGGUGAGGUAACGGCUCACCAAGACUACGAUAGGUAGGGGGCCUGAGAGGGUGAUCCCCCACACUGGUACUGAGACACGGACCAGACUCC
rnacentral:rRNA from 2 species